rnacentral:rRNA from 1 species
GUUAUCAGGGUUCGAUUUAGCCAUGCGAGGCGUGAGUCUUCUGGACUCGCCGAACUGCUCAGUAACACGUAGUUAACCUAAUCUUAGCUGGGGGAUAAUCCUGGGAAACUGGGGCUAAUACCCCAUAAGUUCUGAAGGCUGGAAUGCAUCAGAACUGAAAGUUCCGACGGCUAAGAAUGGGACUGCGGCGUAUCAGGCUGUAGUGAGUGUAAAAUACUCACUAGCCUAUAACGCGUAGGGGACAUGAGAGUGUGAGCCCCGAGUUGCACUCUGAGACAUGAAUGCAGGUCCUACGGGACGCAGCAGGCGCGAAACCUUUCCAAUUCGUUAGCGCGUGAGAAGGGAACCCUGAGUGGUUAUGUUAUGCAUAACCUUUUCCUUAGCCUCAAUAGCUAGGGGAAUAAGUGGUGGGCAAUACAGGUGCCAGCCGCCGCGGUAA